rnacentral:tRNA from 2 species
GCGGUCGUGGCGGAAUUGGUAGACGCGCAACGUUGAGGGCGUUGUAGGUUUUUAACCUGUGGAAGUUCAAGUCUUCUCGGCCGCACCA